rnacentral:rRNA from 1 species
UACGGAGGGGGCUAGCGUUGUUCGGAAUUACUGGGCAUAAAGCGCACGUAGGCGGUUCGUUAAGUCAUGUGUGAAAUCCCUCGGCUCAACCGAGGAAUUGCGCCUGAUACUGGCGGGCUAGAGAUCGAUAGGGGUGAGUGGAACUCCAGGUGGAGCGGUGAAAUGCGUAGAUAUCUGGAGGAACACCGGUGGCGAAAGCGGCUCACUGGAUCGAUACUGACGCUGAGGUGCGAAAGCUAGGGUAGCAAACGGG